rnacentral:rRNA from 1 species
AGAAUCAACGCUGGCGGCGUGCCUAACACAUGCAAGUCGAACGAGAAAGGGGAGCAAUCCCUGAGUACAGUGGCGACCGGGUGAGUAACACGUGACUAACCUACCCUCGAGUGUGGAAUAACAUCGGGAAACCGAUGCUAAUACCGCAUAAUAUCGCAAGAUCAAAGGAGUAAUCCGCUUGAGGAGGGGGUCGCGGCUGAUUAGCUAGUUGGCGGGGUAACGGCCUACCAAGGCGACGACGGGUA